AGAGGAUGUACUCUUUUCCUUCAGUGGACCACAGAGUGUGCGUCAUUCGAGUUCAGAGGCCUAAACGCAGAGGUGUGUGACUGGAGGCACCAGCACAACUAGAGGCAGUUCCUGGACCUUAUCAGCAGUCUGAGAGGGAGAUGAGCAUGUUUGGCCGCAGCUUCCAUCCUCUACACACCCAGCUGGAAGACAGAACUGCAGUGACAACUUGGAAGUAUCAGUGGAGCAUUGUGUCUUGUUUAAUGACCCUAGCUCAUUAAAAGAAGCUUCACCUGAUCCAGGACCUGAGGCCCUGCAUUAACUCAUGCCCAGAGCGGGACUAAAUCUGGUGUGGCCUUGUGCAACAGUGCAACCCCCUAGCAACCCCGUCGGAGGCAGAACAAACAAAGGCCUGGCCUGGCUUCCCCUGUCCUCUCCAGUAGGCAGAAAAGCUAUUAAUGAGGAUCUAUGGCCCAGAGCAAUGGAAGCCCUCAGUCCCCCCAGCCAUGUCCAUCAGGGUACUUAGCCCCAUGCAGUCAUUAACUUCUGCUACUAAUUGUCAAAUUCAUUAAACUAAUCCUUCCCCAACAUCCGGAU